rnacentral:rRNA from 1 species
UGAGGAAGAAAGCAGGGGACCAUUUGGCCUUGCGCUGUUUGAGCGGCCGAUAUCUGAUUAGCUAGUUGGUGGGGUAAAGGCCUACCAAGGCGACGAUCAGUAGCGGGUCUGAGAGGAUGAUCCGCCACACUGGGACUGAGACACGGCCCAGACUCCUACGGGAGGCAGCAGUGGGGAAUAUUGGACAAUGGGCGCAAGCCUGAUCCAGCCAUGCCGCGUGUCUGAAGAAGGCCUUCGGGUUGUAAAGGACUUUUGUCAGGGAAGAAAAGGGCGGGGUUAAUACCCCUGUCUGAUGACGGUACCUGAAGAAUAAGCACCGGCUAACUACGUGCCAGCAGCCGCGGUGAUACGUAGGGUGCGAGCGUUGUCCGGAUUUAUUGGGCGUAAAGGGCUCGUAGGUGGUUGAUCGCGUCGGAAGUGUAAUCUUGGGGCUUAACCCUGAGCGUGCUUUCGAUACGGGUUGACUUGAGGAAGGUAGGGGAGAAUGGAAUUCCUGGUGGAGCGGUGGAAUGCGCAGAUAUCAGGAGGAACACCAGUGGCGAAGGCGGUUCUCUGGGCCUUUCCUGACGCUGAGGAGCGAAAGCGUGGGGAGCGAACAGGCUUAGAUACCCUGGUAGUCCACGCUGUAAACGGUGGGUACUAGGUGUGGGGUCCAUUCCACGGGUUCCGUGCCGUAGCUAACGCUUUAAGUACCCCGCCUGGGGAGUACGGCCGCAAGGUUAAAACUCAAAUGAAUUGACGGGGGCCCGCACAAGCGGUGGAGCAUGUGGUUUAAUUCGAUGCAACGCGAAGAACCUUACCAAGGCUUGACAUAUACUGGACCGCAUCAGAGAUGGUGUUUCCCUUCGGGGCUGGUAUACAGGUGGUGC